UAGCGUAUAUUAAAGUUGUUGCAGUUAAAAAGCUCGUAGUUGGAUUUCUGAUGUCUUUUUGCGUUUCCUUCUUUGCCAGCGAAAUGCUGGUGUUGGUCGCAAUGGAUGUCUUCUUUCUCCGCAAAUUCAUCGCUGAAUCAUUAGUUUGGCUCGGUGUUGAAUGGGGAUCAUUUACUGUGAAAAAAUUAGAGUGUUCAAAGCAAGUAUUAUUUCUUGAAUACAUUAGCAUGGAAUAAUAAGAUAGGACUUGGGUAAUAUUUUGUUGGUUUGCAUAUCCAGGUAAUGAUUAAUAGGAACAUAUUGGGGAUAUCUGUAUUUUUUAGUCAGAGGUGAAAUUCUUGGAUUUAAGAAAGACAAACUACAGCGAAAGCAUUUAUCAAGGAUGUUUUCAUUGAUCAAGAACGAAAGUUGGGGGAUCGAAGAUGAUUAGAUACCAUCGUAGUCUCAACCAUAAACUAUGCCGACUUGGGAUUGGAGGACGUGAAUUUUUAAUAACUCCUUCAGCACCACAUGAGAAAUCAAAGUCUUUGGGUUCCGGGGGGAGUAUGGUCGCAAGGCUGAAACUUAAAGGAAUUGACG
rnacentral:rRNA from 1 species